UACGGAGGGUGCAAGCGUUAUCCGGAUUCACUGGGUUUAAAGGGUGCGUAGGCGGGCAGGUAAGUCAGUGGUGAAAUCCCCAAGCUUAACUUGGGAACUGCCGUUGAUACUAUCUGUCUUGAAUACCGUGGAGGUGAGCGGAAUAUGUCAUGUAGCGGUGAAAUGCUUAGAUAUGACAUAGAACACCAAUUGCGAAGGCAGCUCGCUACACGAAUAUUGACUCUGAGGCACGAAAGCGUGGGGAUCAAACAGG
rnacentral:rRNA from 1 species